rnacentral:rRNA from 1 species
UACGUAGGGGGCUAGCGUUGUCCGGAAUCAUUGGGCGUAAAGCGCGUGUAGGCGGUCCGGUAAGUCCGCUGUGAAAGUCGAGGGCUCAACCCUCGAAUGCCGGUUGAUACUGUCGGGCUUGAGUACGGGAGAGGCGAGUGGAAUUCCUGGUGUAGCGGUGAAAUGCGCAGAUAUCAGGAGGAACACCGAUUGCGAAGGCAGCUCGCUGGAACGUUACUGACGCUGAGACGCGAAAGCGUGGGGAGCAAACAGG